UUGUAUAACCGGGAGGUAUAAGGGCUGUCGCUGACUUUUUCAAGUUGUGCACGCCCAAGUGCCUCUCAUUAUAUCCAUUUCACCCCUUGUGCACCACCACGUGAGUCCCUUUUAAAAGGGGGCUUGCGUUUUUAACAUAGACACCCCUUUAACAGUGUAGAAUGUGUUUAAUAUGUAAUUAAUA
rnacentral:misc_RNA from 1 species